AUUUUCCAUCUGACUGGAAGGCUGACACCUGUUCCUGAGUGAUGUUUCUGGAUGAGAUUAGCAUUCAAAUUCGUGGACUCAUUAAAGUAGAUGGCUCUCUCCAAUAUGGGUGGGCAUCAUCCAAUCUGUUGAAGGCGUGAAGAGAACAAGAGAAGGAGGAAGGAAGAAUUCACCUUUUUUCUUGCUGCCCACCUGCUUGGGCUGGGACAUUGCAUCUCACCUUCUCCAGCCUUUGGAUGAGGAUUUACACCCUGGUUCUCAGGCCUUCAGGCUCUAACUGGAGCUACACUAUCAACUUUCCUGGGCCUCCAGAUUGCAGAUGGUGGAUCACGGUACUUUUUAGCCUCCAUCAUAAUGUAAGCCAAUUCCUAAUAAUAAAUCUC
rnacentral:lncRNA from 1 species